rnacentral:lncRNA from 15 species
UACUCCUCAUGUCUGAAGAAUUGGGACAGACAUAAAUAUUACACAUGAACAACAGCCCGCCUGAAUCACGUGUGCUCGGUCUCCAGCAAGGGAUUUGCAAAAAAAUGAGUCACCGGUCUCGGUGAAUGAGAUUUCACUUCCUGCAAUAUUGUGAGCCAGUGUUUCCGCUCCAGCCGGCAUACUAGAUCUACACAGCAUGUGCGCUGUCUGCUCAGCCCCGCAGAGAGCGAGUUAACCCCAUCCAGCUGAGUGCACGUCGGUGAAAGUGCUCCGACACGUCGUGCUCGAACGGAACCAUUGAAUUCAAACCGUGAACUGGAGUCAGAAAAGGUCCGGGGGGGGGGCACUUGUGUUUCUGCAGGUUGCCUGUCAGCUGCUUACCUGGGAGCCGGUGAUCCACCCAGGAGUUGGCGAGACGUUGUUAACUCAAGCAGUCCCCUGAGAGGUAAGAAUUUCAACACGCACCAUUUCAGCUCCUUCUCAAACUUC